AGCGAACGCUGGCGGCAGGCCUAACACAUGCAAGUCGAACGAACUCUUCGGUGUUAGUGGCGGACGGGUGAGUAACACGUGGGAACGUGCCUUUUGGUUCGGAAUAACUCAGGGAAACUUGUCCUAAUACCGCAUGUGCCCUUCGGGGGAAAGAUUUAUCGCCAUUAGAGCGGCCCGCGUCUGAUUAGCUAGUUGGGGAGGUAACGGCUCACCAAGGGGACGAUCAGUAGCUGGUCUGAGAGGAUGACCAGCCACACUGGGACUGAGACACGGCCCAGACUCCUACGGGAGGCAGCAGUGGGGAAUCUUGCGGAAUGGGCGAGAGCCUGACGCAGCCAUGCCGCGUGAAUGAUGAAGGUCUUAGGAUUGUAAAAUUCUUUCACCGGGGACGAUAAUGACGGUACCCGGAGAAGAAGCCCCGGCUAACUUCGUG
rnacentral:rRNA from 1 species